rnacentral:lncRNA from 1 species
GGUAUUGGCAUGUAACAAAUUGGCACAAAAAAGAAUAGGGUGGGCGGCACAAUUCUAAAGUCCAAGGAAAUUUGGACUCUCACCUAAAACCCUAUCUAUUCCUAUUUAAACAUAAGAUUAUGAGGAGUAGUUGAAACCUGAUUAUGAUUAGAUUUUGGAUGCCAAAUAGAGAAGAGGAGUGCAUGAAAAAUAAGGGAGAAGAGUGGC